AGGAUCAUUAUCAUACAAUGGAGGUGCAAGGGCUGUCGCUGACCUUUUAAAGGUCGUGCACGCCCGAGCACUCUCACACAUAUCCAUCUCACCCCUUUGUGCACAACCGCGUGAGUUCCCCUGGAAGGGGGGGCCCACGUUUUUUCACACAAACGUUAAAGCAGUGUAGAAUGUACUUUCUUUUUGCGGUGAUACGCAAUCAAUACAACUUUCAACAACGGAUCUCUUGGCUCUCGCAUCGAUGAAGAACGUAGCGAAAUGCGAUAUGUAAUGUGAAUUGCAGAAUUCAGUGAAUCAUCGAAUCUUUGAACGCACCUUGCGCCCCUUGGCAUUCCGAGGGGCACACCCGUUUGAGUGUCGUGAAAUCAUCAAAACCUUUUCUUUGAUCCUUUUGGUCGAGAAAGGGAUUUUGGACUUGGAGGAUCCAAUGCCCACUUCUCACCUUUUGAAAGUGAGCUCCUCUCAAAUAAAUUAGUGGGGGUUUGCUUCGCCAAUCCUUGACGUGAUAAGUUGCUUCUACGUUUCGGAUUUGGUCGGACACCUGCUUCUAACUGUCCUAUGGACGACGAUGGUGUUCCGGUCACCUGGACCCAUAAGAAAACCUUGACCUCAAAUCGGGUGAGACUACCCCGCUGAACUUAAGCAUAUCAAUAAGCCGGAGGAAAAGAAACUAACAAGGAUUCCCCCUAGUAACUGCGAGUG
rnacentral:rRNA from 1 species